rnacentral:rRNA from 1 species
UGAACGCUAGCGACAGGCUUAACACAUGCAAGUCGAGGGGUAACAGGGUAGCAAUACCGCUGACGACCGGCGCACGGGUGAGUAACGCGUAUGCAACCUGCCUAUAACUGGGGAAUAGCUCCCUGAAAGGGGAAUUAACACCGCAUAACACUAUUGAUUCGCAUGAAUUGGUAGUUAAAUGUAGCGAUACAGGUUAUAGAUGGGCAUGCGUGACAUUAGCUAGUUGGUGAGGUAACGGCUCACCAAGGCUACGAUGUCUAGGGGUUCUGAGAGGAAGGUCCCCCACACUGGUACUGAGACACGGACCAGACUCCUACGGGAGGCAGCAGUGAGGAAUAUUGGUCAAUGGGCGCAAGCCUGAACCAGCCAUGUCGCGUGCAGGAAGACUGCCCCCUAUGGGUUGUAAACUGCUUUUAUAGUAGAAGAAACACAUCUACGAGUAGAUGUCUGCCAGUAUACUAUGAAUAAGCAUCGGCUAACUCCGUGCCAGCCGCGGC